CCUACGGGAGGCAGCAGUGGGGAAUAUUGCACAAUGGGCGCAAGCCUGAUGCAGCGACGCCGCGUGAGGGAUGACGGCCUUCGGGUUGUAAACCUCUUUCAGUAGGGAAGAAGCGAAAGUGACGGUACCUGCAGAAGAAGCGCCGGCUAACUACGUGCCAGCAGCCGCGGUAAUACGUAGGGCGCAAGCGUUAUCCGGAAUUAUUGGGCGUAAAGAGCUCGUAGGCGGUUUGUCGCGUCUGCCGUGAAAGUCCGGGGCUCAACUCCGGAUCUGCGGUGGGUACGGGCAGACUAGAGUGAUGUAGGGGAGACUGGAAUUCCUGGUGUAGCGGUGAAAUGCGCAGAUAUCAGGAGGAACACCGAUGGCGAAGGCAGGUCUCUGGGCAUUAACUGACGCUGAGGAGCGAAAGCAUGGGGAGCGAACAGGAUUAGAUACCCUGGUAGUCCAUGCCGUAAACGUUGGGCACUAGGUGUGGGGGACAUUCCACGUUUUCCGCGCCGUAGCUAACGCAUUAAGUGCCCGCCUGGGGNGACGCGCGAGAACGUAACGUAAUUAGAGUAGAGNGUGNGNGNGCGAGCGACGACGAGGAGAGG
rnacentral:rRNA from 1 species